AACAAACUUUUACGACAUUCCAAACGUUGUUACUCUUUACUUUCUUAGUCUUAUUUUCCUCUCUCUAUCUCUUCUACCUCCCCUCACUCAAGAACCCACUGCCCUAACUGUCUCUCUAUUUCCAACUGCCUGCCAACAGCUUCUCCAACUGCCUUUCCCAACCAGCCAAGCCACUAAAACCAACCAACUACCCACCAACAACUCUAACGAACCUCGAGCUAAGCCCUUUUAUACACAUGUAGGCUCUGUCUCCAGCUUUCCUAUUGGUCUACAUUUUUAAUCCUUUCUUUUUCCCCUGUACAGACAGGCUCUAAACGAAUGGGCAAACCCCACAUCCUGCCUCAGUGAGAGAUUUCCCCACAGUGUGUUAUAAUUUUCUUAAACCACACACACCAUUUAAAUUGUUAAUGCAGGAUUUUGAUCUGAAGUAGCGCUCUCUCUCUGUGUGUGUGUGUGUGAGAGGGGGGGGGGGAGAGAGAGGGAGAGGGAAGAGUUUUUUAAACCCACAAUUCUCCUAACCUACAACCACACCUUGCACUGUGUUGGACAUUUGUGUUGAAUUUCUGUUGAAAACAAUAACAGUCUGCACUUAAGAGCACAGAUACCGAGCUAACAUAUUGUCUAGUUUGGCCCUUAGCACAGCCACAUUGUCUUUUAUAUGGUAACAUAACUGACCAAGAAGAUGUUGUCUUUAGUGGUUUAGUAAAAAUUGUCUGGCACAACAUUUACUAAACACUCUGUGGCAAAAUUCCUGGCCUGCUUCUGUUGUCUAUAGACCUCUAGCUUCAGGUCAUCCUGCAGUAAUUGCUUUCAGCAGAAUCCCUGUUAAGCCCUAGGGCCUAGGGCAUCUCCCUGCCAAAUCUUCUUCUUGUCCACAAGCUGCUGCAGAUUUCAAUAAGCAAUGGUGGCCACUCUAACCAUAUGAUUCCACUGCUGCCCAUCUUAAGAGGAGGAAAAGAUGUUGCCCAUUCCAGUGAGAGAGACACUAAGAAAUGUGUCUUCAUACACAUGCUGCUGGCCUGAGGAGGAGAGGGUCUGGCCAUUGUGACCUCAUGUUGAUCUCACUUAGCUGAAGGAAGAGUGGGCAUUGUGACCUCAUGCUGAUGGUCAGAAGCCAGACUGGCCCAUAUGCCCUCCUGAAGGAGAGAGAGAAAGACACUGUGCCCCCUUUCCCAUGUCUUGCCAAGCACCUCAACAAGCAAACCGGCCUUUUUCCGCUUUGUCAACAGGUUAGUGGCUGGAGGGUGGUAGUGGCGGUGGCACUGAGGUUCCUCAUUCCUCUGCGUUUUUGAACUGAAAAUAUUACAGGGUCUGGAAUGCCCUGGACUCCAGCAAUUAAAGCAAUUUGAUUAUUACUAAUGUCCUCAGAAAACUGCUCACUCCCUAUGGUCAGAAAAGGAGUACAGUUUGAGAGAAAAUGGCUCCUCAUUUUGCCCUGUCUCAUCUGCUGCAGGUUGACUCUAGGAUAGGACACAACUUGUUAUUUACGCCUUAUUUUGUACGCUGCUUUAGGUGGGAAAUGUUGCAAUAUGCAAUUGAAUCUGAAUAAAUAAUUCCAACCAAAAUUAAUCCAGCAACUAUUAAGCAUUUUUUCAUACCAGAAGGGACAUCCUAGUCAACAACACCCGCCCAUCUGACUGGGUUGCCCCAGUAACUCUGAGUGAUUCCAACGUAUAUAAAAACAUAAUAAAACAUUUUAAAACUUCCCUAUACAGGGCUGCCUUCAGAUGUCUUUUGAAAGUUGUAUAUUUACUUAUAUUGGCUCAGGAGUUGCCUAAGUCCACACCCACCAACAUUUCUCAGGUGAAAAUAGGGACAUCCUAAGAAAAAGUAGGACACUCUGAGAUCAAAUCAGAAAUUGGGACGAUAAAUCUAGAACUGUCCCUGGAAAAUAGGGACACUUUGAGGGUCUGUGAAAAACCUCACAUAUUCCAGAGUUUGUGUUGCUGCUGCUGCUGCUUUAAAUCACUCUGAAUAUCAGAAAUACCUAAUAUGACAUCACCAAGCUGCUUUUGAAACUUUCUGUAAUUUCAAAAGUAGUUUAACAUACAAGCUGCUUGUUGACCCAUCAGGCAAAUAGUUGGAGUAUAAAUAAAUAAACAACAACAAUAUUACUUGACAUGCAAUGGUGCUGUCCUGUAACACAGGCAACAUGCUAAACUCCCCCCCCCACACACACUCCUCAAUCACUUAUCAACAUGUCUGUAAAUUAUAAAGUGUCAACCCACAAAACGAGUGCAAAGGUCUCAAGGGAACGCACAAUGUCUUGUUUGCAUGGUCUAGGGAUCACAGCCUAUCCUAAUUUUCUGAUUCACAACCUAUUAACUUGCAGGCCUGGUUUUUGUUUCCUGCAGAAUGGCAAAACGUAUAAUCAUUAUACAUUCAAGGCACCUCAACAAAACCUUUGCUUAGCUAUGUGCAUAUUAUUUAAUUCCUCAUGGCCCCCUUUUGAGGUUAUUAAUCUGGAUGACUAUUUGAAAUAAACAACAGAAAAUCAGCUCUGAGUAUUACUCCUCCUGUCUUUGGGGCAUUACAAGUCAAUUGAACUGUCUAAAUGAGUUAUGCCUGGAAUUAAAACAUCCAUGCCUUAGAUUCCACCAGUGCAGCCCUGCGCCUUUAAGAUAAUCCUGCGACUGCAGAGUUGCACCUUCAUUGGCAAUUCAUAACUCGCACUAUGUUGUGUGUGCAAGCUUCAGUGCUUACAAAAAUAGGAAGGGAUUCAGCAAAUUAAAAUGUUUAGUAAACAAAGUUGUCCAAAGGGAAAUCAUUAGCAAAAUCAGAUCCUCUGAAGGUGCUCAGUGGAAAGUAAAAUUGCUUCAUUACAUAAAACACUAGACACAGUGCAUACUGAGUUCGACACCUGUCAGAGGGGUAGGCCAAAAGAGAAACAAAGGAUUUCUUGCUCCGUAACAAAAACAUAUUGUUUGUCUCAGUGGGCAGUAAAACUUAGAUAUCAUUAUAGCUGUAUGUGCAGGUCUAGAGAGAGGCUUAUUUAUUUAUUUUAUUUCGGCAAACUUUUCAAAUGAUUCCCCCCCCCCAUAGACUUACAUUAAAAAAAUCCUAGAAUAUAAACAAUAAUAGAGUAUACUGUAUGCAGCAAAUUAAAAGCAUAAAUUAAUAUUGAACAGGGGAAAUGAAAAAUUGUCUGGAAAACUCACUCUCCCCAAAACACUGGUUGUAUUCAACUAAGUUUUACUCAGAACAGAUCCAUUGGAAUUAAUUAACGUGACUAAGUUAGUUCCAUUGAUUUAACUGGGUCUACUCUGAGCAUAACUUAGUUGAAUGCCUCCCUAUAUUAGUAGCCAAAUGAAAUGCAAUUCUGCAUUCACAAACACAGUAUUCAUGGUGUUCAGUAAUUUAUUACACUAUAUAUAAAAUAUAUCCCCAGACAGUUCAGGUGCAUCUAGGCAACCCAAAAAAACAGACAUUUGGCACAUAUAGGCUGUGCUUGAAUGUAAUGGUAAUUGUUUUAGCAUUCUGAAAAUAAGCUGCAGGUGAAGUUUCACCCUCCUUUUGCAGCAGCAAAGAGACAUUUGGAUGUUUUUGCCUCCAUUGCAGAGUAACUAUAGCUUCUUAUGACAUGCAAACCCAGACGAAUUCCCCAGUAAAAUUCUAUUUCCUAUUCUAAAAUACAGUAUUUCUCAUUUGGCAGUUGAUCUUUGAUAGUCGACAUGCAACUGGUUUUAGUAACUGCAAGUUGGCAUGCAAUGGGAUUUAGUAUUCAAGUGUAUUUUCUUGACUGCAUGCAAUGAUAGUCAACAUGCAAUAGUAAUUAGUAUUUGAUCGUUCACACGCACUUCUCUUUUUGUUAGGAUGUGACUGCAUUGCACUCAAGGCAGUUUACAACUUUAUUUUAUCCACAUUUGUUGUACUACUGACAUAAUUCAACACGUGGGAGAAACAAAGACCCCCAACAAGUCACAAGUGCUCAAACUUUCAUAUUUUGAAUGAAAAUUUGACCUCAAUAUAUAGCUUCCGAAUUUGAAUUGUUUUGAAAUUUCAUGUCCACAACAAACUUUCAGUGGCGGCGAUUAGGAAGAACAAGUUGGAAGAAAAUAAAAACACUAGUGGGCAUUGCUAGAAAGACUUGAGCAAGAUCAUCCCCAUCAAGGUUUUGGUCCAAAGUGAUUGUCCAGCUAUGGAGUUGUGUUCAUUCUAUACUGCAGCCAUUCAGUAAACACAGGACCGCCCGCCCCCCCAUUACAUCAAUCACAAAGAUGCUGCCAGGAAAAGCUUCAGGGAUCCCUGUCCUCUAUAUUUAGCACCAUAGGGUUUGCCAUCCCAGCAUAGUGUGCCUUCAUGUGAUGGCAUGAAUCUAAGCCAUGGGUCGGCAAACUAAGGCCCAGGGUCCGGAUCUGGCCCAAUUGCCUUCUGGAUCCGGCCUGCGGGUGGUCUGGGAAUCGCCGCGUGGAUCGGCGUGGGGAUUCUGAUCAUUUGGGCUGUACCAUUUCCACCUCCCUCUCCCUUACACAUACCGUGGCGGCCCUCCUCCCUCCCUCCUCCUGGCUUCUCUCUGUCCUGCCUAGAGGAGGAAGGAGGCUGGGUUUUGUUGAGCCGCAGUUGGCUGAGCUCCAUUUUAAGCAGCCCCUCUCGGGAGCCAGCCCUUUCAGGCCACUCAUUGUCCCUCCGCCACCGCCAGCCCCUGCCACUCGCAAGGCACAGGUAAGCAGCUACUGGGGCUUGUCCAGUGCUGUGGAGAAGGGAGGGGAGAGUCGGGGUGGAUUUUUUUUCUUUCAAAAUAUAGUUCAGCCGCCGCCCCCCCCCCCAAGGUCUGAGGGACAGUGGACUGGCUCCCUGUGGAAACUUUUUGCUGGCCCCUGAUCUAAGCAGUGAGAAACUGUAAAUGUUCUCUUCUGGGUGAGGAUUCCUCACUAAAGUACCGUAUUUUUUGCUCUAUAAGACUCACCUUUUCCCUCCUAAAAAGUAAGCGGAAAUGUGUGUGCGUCUUAUGGAGUGAAUGCAGGCUGUGCAUCUAUCCCAGAAGCCAGAACAGCAAGAGGGAUUGCUGCUUUCACUGCACAGCGAUCCCUCUUGGUGUUCUGGCUUCUGAGAUUCAGAAUUUUUUUUUCUUGUUUUCCUCCGCCAAAAACUAGCUGCGUCUUGUGGUCUGGUGCGUCUUAUAGAGCGAAAAAUACGGUAUUUCAUGGCAGCAUCCCAGUGGACAGCAUAUAGUCUGCUGAUGAUCGUGGUGUAACCCACCCAGGGAUAUAGUGAAAGGCAACUGGUAAUAAUUAUAAUCUGUAAGCUGCCCAGAGUGUCUGGGGAAACCCAGCCAGAUGGGCAGGGUAUAAUAAUAAUAAUAAUAAUAAUAAUAAUUGCAAUAAUCAUUUUUAGACUGUAAAUGUGGGGGCAGAGACUGUGUUAUUUUUCUUGAUGUGUACCAGGGACUAAGAGCCUUUGCAGCUGAAAAGCACAAUAUAAAUGCUUUGAAUAAAUAAAUAACAAAAUGUUUGUUGGCCGUCCUUGCCAUACUUCUAGAAGAACUGUGUAGCUCUCCUUCCCUUCCCAAAUCUUUGUCGGUGUCAGCCUAACAGAUUGUGUUUUUUCUUCAGUGAAAGUUAACUAACCUUGCGAUACUGGCUUGCCAAUUAAGUGCUUUUCUCUAUCCAGUAAUGUCAUUUCCGUUCCGUUUGACCUACAUGUUGGAAGCAAUCUUCUGUAACGUUAUGCUUUGCACCGUUUCAAGUCGGGGUAUACCAAAAAGGCAGACAUGAAAAAAACUAUAUAGGAUUGUUAGCAUUCACCUCUAAGCAUUUUAUAAAGUGAGUAAAAAGAUUUAUUUUUUUCAGAAGGAUGGAAUGUCUGUUUGAAUGUUUAAGAUGAUGUUAGCACUUUUUUCAUUAUAUCAUAUUUUAUUUCAGUAUUGUAAUCUACCUUGAGGGCCACUUCACCAGAUAAAGACAAGAUACAGUUAGUUGGUUAGUAAGUUAGUCGGUUAGUCAGUUAGUCAGUUAGUUAGUUAAAGUGAUGUCCAACACUACGGCCACAACCCUACAGAAUAGAAGGGGUGCUUAAUUCCAAUGAUUUCAAUGGUCUUAAGCAAACCUAACUUUGUGAUGGCUUGUGGCCGAGAUGGUAGCAAUCCAAAAGACAUGCACUUGCACUGAUGUUUUGUAGGUGCACAUUUUGCCUCCCAUCCAUUUUUUGUUCAGAGCCAACCCCAGGCACAUGUGAAGCUUCUCCAAGACUUAAAAAAAAAACACAACGGUUUUGAGGAUUGGGCACAAGCUUUUUAGAAGUUUAUUAAUCUGCAUGUGCUAUUUCUGUCCCACCCUCGGCCACAUCCUCUGUACACAGUCAGCGUAAUAUGUUGGCCAGAAUGCUAGACUUUUCCCAGAGAGACCAGCCUUCUCAAUCAUAAGCGCCAUCCAUCUCAGUAUUGUCUGGACUGACAAGAGAUACCAGGGACUGGAUCUAGAACUUUCUACGUGUGAAGCAUUUGCUCUACUAAUGAGCAAUGCCCCUUCCUCUCAGUUGAAACUCCUUCACAUGGUUGCUGUGAGAAUAAAAUCACCAAGCGCCAACUAUGCCACCCUGCUGGAAAGGAUGAUGAUGGAUGAUAAAGCUCUUGUGCUAUCAAAGCCUUCAAAAAAAAGAAGACCCUCAGGGACUUAAUAAGAAUUGAAAUGGAAUUUUAACAACAAGUUCUAAUCAAAUUGCAUAUUUGUUUCAGCAGAGUUAGAUUACUCAUCUUCAAUCCACUUGGAAGAAUCCACUUUAAAAAAAAAAAAAAAAAGCAAGGAGCCAGGACGGGGACAUAUAGGCAAUCUAUAUUUAGCUUCUCAAAGUCAUAACUUUGUGUUGCUUUACUUCACCCAUUUUAAAACAAUAACAGCAGCAGAGCUUUGAAGGAACUUCAUAUUUCAACUUUCAUUUCUUCCCAGACAGGUGUUUUUUGUUUUGUUUUUUUAAUUGUGCCCAAUGGUAGAUUUUUAAAUGAGUUUCCCUAGGUGCUUGGACUCAGAUUGGGGAAGUUGUUAAAAGCAACAACAAAAAUAGUAUAUUUGGGGUUUUUGUUUUUGUCACUCAGUGUAUUAUUUCACCUCCAAUUAGCUCCAUUUUUACCAUUCCAGUCUUAUUGUGUGUACCAGAGGCUGCUUCACUUCACCAGCUGCCUCUGAAAUAAUGCAUGCUGGAGGUUUGGAAAAAAAAAAGUUGCUCGCUAUAAACUCCAUUUAAAAUCCUCAUUUGAAAGCGACUUGCUGACAAUGUCUUUUGUCAGUUGCAUGGUUUUGUCCUUCACACUUUCUUUGAAAUGCUGAGGAAUGAUGCACACAUAACACAGAGAGUGUGUGUUUAUACAGACAACCAUUUCGCACAGGCACCCCCAAACUCAGCCCUCCAGAUGUUUUGCGACUACAACUCCCAUCAUCCCUAGCUAACAGGACCAGUGGUUAGGGAUGUGUGAAUUGUAGUCCCAAAACAUCUGGAGGGCUGAGUUUGGGGGUGCCUCAUUUAGCAGGUGGGAACUUCCAAUCUACAUGAGAAACUAGGAAGCUUAUGCAGUGGGAGGAGGAGAAGACCGGGGGUGAAGAAGGAGCCUUUCCCCAUCCUCUGGAGCCUCCUGGGAAACCCAGCAAAACUGCUGUACCUGGAACUAAGUGUGGAGAGUGCAGGCAAAUGGGACACAGCAGUGGGCAACCCUGAGGAAAUACCAUCCACCUUGGGCCUGUGGCAUCCUGCCAAGCAGUAAGUAGAGUUUUACCACUCCUCUGCUAAUCCAUUUUUUUCCAGUUGGGUAUGGAUGUGUGGAGAAAUUCUCCUCAUUCGGCUGCAUGACAUAAACAAGCCGCUUGCCAAGCAGUUAAAUGCACAGCAUGGUAAACUGCUGCUUCCUAAAUGAUUGCCUGGGGAUGCGGGUGGCACUGUGGGUUAAACCACAGAGCCAAGCGCUUACCAAUCAGAAGGUCGGCAGUUCAAAUCCCCGUGAUGGGGUGAGCUCUCGUUGCUCGGUCCCUGCUCCUGCCAAUCUAGCAGUUCGAAAGCAUGUCAAAGUGCAAGUAGAUAAAUAGGUACCACUCCGGCGCGAAGGUAAAUGGUGUUUCCAUGCGCUGCUCUGGUUUGCCAGAAGUGGCCACAUGACCCAGAAGCUGUACACUGGCUCCCUUGGCUAAUAAAGCAAGAUGAGCGCUACAACCCCAGAGUCGUCCGCGACUGGACCUAAUGGUCAGGGGUCCCUUUACCUUUACCUAAAUGAUUGCCUGGCUUGGCCACAGGAUUCAAGGAGACUCACAGACCUAUGUAGAUCUACUCAGCAUUAACUCCUGUUGAGAGGAAAGGAAAGCCAUGAUCCCUACUGCUCACAAACAUGCCAGCCAAACUGUAUUGGUUGCGCUUCAGAAGCUAUUUGACACAGAAUCAGUGCUGUGUAGUGGUUAGAGUGAAGCUCACUGAGGGAUCGCUGUCUCUCAACCCAACCCAACUCACAGGACUGCUGCAAGAACACAGUCAGGGCCGUCUUUACCCAGGGGUGCAAGUGGUGCAGGGCACCCAGGCGCCCAAUUCGGGGGGGCUCCAGGCACCUGCUACUGAGCCCCCUAAGCUCUUAACUAUCUACCUGUUAUGAAAUAAUAAAUAAUUUUGAUCAAGCUAGAAAAACAAAAUACAUAUAUACCUAGGUAUUACCGAAAUGUAUAUCUACUGUUUCACUAAAGGUCUUUCAACUUUGUGCACUCAUUUAUCAAAGAUGUGCCGCACCAGCGGCGCUUGUCAUUCACAACGGCGUGUUUUAAUUUCAGCACUUACAGUUCAAAUUCGUUUAGAGAAAUCGUUAAAAAAAUAAUGUUAAUUUUUGCUAAUUGUUGGCAUUUUCUUUGACUAACUACUUAGUACUUAGGGUUCUACUACACAUGGGUUUCAGCACGUGAUUUUAGCUUUCCAUUUCUGCAAAAACGCGCCUAGAGCACACACUAUGAAUUCCGCAAGCUGCAUUUUUUCUUCAUUUUACGACAAAUGCUAAGCGAGAAACACAUUUCUUUUUUCUCCCUUCUUUUGAAAACAAGAGAUAAGGCGUAAGCGUGGUGUCUGACAUAAGCAUAAUAAAAGUUAAUUUGGGGGCUAAACUAAAUAUGGGGGUGCUGGGCAGAUCUUUGCACCCCAGCGGCACAUAUGCUAAAGAUGGCCCUGAACACAGUCAAUAUUUAUUCUCCUGUGUAUACCACUUUGAGCUCCUAGGAGAAAAUAAACAAGCUGUAUGAACGGCUUGAAAAUCCUGACUGGAAAAUAAAAACCCACCGCCCAGCUGUACAUAUUCCUGUAGGAACUGUACAAGAAAGAGAGCUUUUUUUUUUUAGUUAGCAAACAGCAGCAGAACUGCUACAGCAACGGAACGGCGUGAUUCUGCUAGACCCACCACUCAAAGGAUGCAAUUGCCCGAGUGAACAUGCCAGAAAUUUGGAAAGGAAAAUGAAGUGUAACAACCUUGAAAAUACAGCAAAUAAAAGACAAUUCAUGGUUGAUAUUCAUCCCUGCUGGCACUUAAUCAAUAGAAUCCAUAGCCUUAUUAAUACAACCAGUGCCAAGCAUCUGCUGAUAGAACACAUUCACUGACUGAACACAUAAUGGCUAUAUUCAUUUUUAUUUAAUUAUUUCCUGCCAAUAUUGUACCACCUGUUGUUCUCCUUACUGAGAAUAGGUAAAAACAACACACACAAACAUAAAAUCUGCUUGGAGGAAUGCAUUCACUUACGACGACGUUUUAACUGGAUUGGGGGUGGGGGGCAGGAACCACCUGGCUUGUACUCAGUAGGUCCCAUCUUAGGGCUGGUUCAUGCACAAAUGUUCCUCAGGCAUUUUGGAAUUCAAGGUCAAAUAUUAACAUGUAUUCAUCACCUCUCCCCCAUUAUGAGAUCCAGUCUUGCUUAUUGAGUCAGAGCGAUGUCGCUGCUUCUCUCUGCCUGAGAGAUACUCUGUUUCCACCACCACCCUGUUGCUUCCACCUCACUGAUUCUUUCUGCUCAGAAAGCAUAUGGACUGAGGUGGUUUGGAGAAAAGAAAGCUCUUCCCAUCGACUCCUGCCCUAGGCUUAGCAGUAAGUCUGAGCUGGCUACAAAUACAACCAUUUCCUAAAGUGCCUAUAAAGUUUUAUGAUAGGUUUAGUGAGUUAAUGCUAUAAAUCGCCACGCUGCAUGAUUCAGAAUAAUUAAUUUAAUAAGUGUGUCGUAUGAGGAAAGUAAAUAAAGGGGGAGAAGUGAGUGAUCAGUGAAGCAUAUAGGAUUGAAAGGAAAAAAACAAAAUCGCCAGCAAGCACAGAAUAUUAAAAGCUUGAUGGAUUUUUUUUUCUUCCUACCCUGCCCCAAAUCUUCCUUGAGCUACUUCUUAAAUUCCAUACAGCAGCAAUGUCCAGCUUCUUUGGUGGGGCAUUCUGUUACCCCCAAACCAACCAGGGAACCAGAAAUGUGCUUUGACAUACUCUGCCCCUGUCAUGGAUGUUCAUGAUAUUAGGUGUUCUUCAAGUUUGGGUCCCCAGAUGUUGUUGAACUACUGGUCCUAUCAGCCCCAGCCAGCCUAGCCAAUGGUGAGGGAUGAUGAGAGAUGUAGUUUGACAACAUCUGGGGACCCAAGCUUGAAGAGCACUCUUAUAUAACAUGAAAGUUGGCAUUAUCCAAUAACUAAGGACUUCACAGGUAUGGAUCAACAGCACUCAGGUGGAAUGAGACAGGAAAGUGCUUCCUGGAAAAUCCAUCGAAGAGGCAAUUGGCAGCAGCCCAUUGCAUUUUCACAGGUGAGUAUGUAUACACACUCUAAUGAAGUUUUUCUAAGCAUCAAACAGCACUUCACACAAGCUUGCUUUGGAUCCCUUUUGGGAUUCAGUUAAUCACUGAAAUAAUAUAUAUGAGACUGUGAUUAACAAAACUGAUAUUUAAUUUCUGUUGCAAAACAUUUCACCUUCUGCCUCCAUCAGCUGCUCUGGUAAAAAUGUAAGUAUGCUAUUGCCAAAGAAGCAGUUAACAGAGCAAUAUGGAUAAAAUGUUUGAAUGGGCUUCAUUUGCUUAAGGGAAAUCAUGUCAGCACUAUCUUCCAGGCUGAGGCCACGUGUUUAUCUAAGCAUGCAUACAAACCCUGAAUCUAGCCAUAGAUCUGUGGGUCGUUAGAGGCCCCCAGAAUUUGCUUCAGGGCAUGCAUCUGAUCUACAGGCUGCCAUUCAACCAUUCUUUGCAUAUGCAGCCCACUAAUUUUUGCUUUCAUUCAAGGAUGUCCUCUCAGAUGGUCCAUUUAGCACAACACAAGGAUCCAGAUCAUAACAGUGGUAAAUAGAAGGUACCAUCUCAAUCAACAGAAACUUCAGGGAGUAGAUUCCAGAGGAGGUGCCCUUUCCUUGAUUUUAAUCUCAAUUGUUCUGCCCCAAGAUUAAUGUAAAGGUUACAACAGCAUCAUGUUAGAGUAGCAAUUAAUGCAGGGUUAAUGGUAGGCUAGAACAAGGGCAUGCCAUAUAUAUAUAUAGGGGUACGCAUACCCCUAAACAUUUUGUGAAUCUAAGUUUGGCCUCAUUGAGGGGCAGUAUUUCAAUAUGAGUAGGAAAAUGAGACUACCUCUAAACAUUUUUUUAAGAAAAAAAGCACCCUGUGCUAAAAGUAGUUUUUAUCAAUCUCUUUAUCUCUUCAUAAAUCAUGUUCCAAAAUCUUUGUAUCUCCAGACAGGACCACCACAUAUGGUAGUAUGUUCCUAUCUGUUCCUUACAUUGCCAGCACUUGUUAUUGUUUGAUUUAUUUAUUUUUGCAAGUUUUACAGGGGUCAGGUACCACCUAUAGUACAUUUGCAUAAGAUUUUCCCUUAUAAGGAAACAAGCCGCGAAUUUUAUAUUUUUUAGUCCAUAAUUCAUUCCAAAUAUCGGGUUUGAUUGUAUGUCCCAGGUCCCUCUCCCAUUUUACUGUAAUUUCUUUGAUAUCUUCCUCCUUUCUUUGCCAAUUCAAAAGUAGUUUGUACAUUUUUGAAAGUGUCUUUUGAUUAUUAUAUAAAAUAUCCUUCUCCAGAUAGGAUAUUUUUUUGUCAAAUCCUUUGGUUCUUUUAUCCUUUUCAAGGGCGGCUUUUAGUUGAUAGUACUCCAGCCAGGUGAACUGCUCUAAGACCUGUGGGUGUGGAGCAUUAUAUAAAUUUAAUAAGUACUACUACUACUGGUACUACCACUCUAGCAAUAAGAACUUCACUAUUUAGAAACAUUUGUGUUCAAAGCAUACAGCGGACCUUUGUAUUCAAAAUCCAAAGAGUGCUAUUAACUGUAAAUUACAGGAUCACUCAUACAAGAACCAUUUCAUAAACUUUUUUUUUAGUGGAAAUGUGAAAGAACUCUUCCAAAUCAUGAAGAUAAAAGUUUGUGGUGGAGCAAUGAAAGGAUCAGGGGGCAAAAGUGUUUUGGAGGUUGACUCCACCAUGUGAUCUAACAGUCAGUGCUAAUCACGAGCAUUUUGUUGAAUAUUUCAAUUACAACAAUCCAACAAUCAAUUCUACAAGACAUAAGACAUAAGAUAUGGGCAGUGCUAGUUUUGUACAGAAGCAGCAUGAAUCAGUCACUUCAGUCACCAGAUUUCAGACAGGCACUGUUUUCUAGCCUUUAGCUGUGUGUUCAUUUAAAAACAAUAACAAGUGACUCCACAGCAGGGAUGUGGGGCCACCAUUUUGGCUUUUCCUUCAGCUGUGGAAAUGUGAAAGGCAAGCAUUGCCCAUGGGCAACUGUGACAUUCCUUUGAAGCUGUCCCUAUCUUUAAAAUAAAAAUGUUGCCUAAUGUAUAUGCAGAAACAAGGCAUACAAUAUUCUACGCCAGAUUAAAAUAUAUAAUUGGUUACUAAUGCUCUGUUUUCACCUGAUAACUGCAGUUGGAUUAUCUGGAUUAUCUGAAUAAUUAUAUAUAGAAAUUGCUGGAAAAUAUGACAUCACAAAAAGGGGAAGUCUGAUCUGUGGGUUAAAUACCUCCUUGCAGGAGACUUGGUACUGAAUAUAGAUUGGAUGUUUUGCUGUUAGCCAAUAUCUUGCAUACAGCUCAUCCUCUCUGCAGGUUGAGGGCCCAUUCACAAAUUUCUUCCCUAGAAGCCCCAAACUUCCUGAAGUCAACCCUGUAUAUAAUACUGAGUAUCACUAAUUAAACUGUACUGAUCAUUAGAAAUACUUUUUCUAUUGAAACAGGAUGUGUUGUUAUCAAAAUUCCUCUCUUACUUUCAAACAUAAUGCAAACUUUAAUCACAAGCGGGAAUUUUAUUAUUAUUUAAAACAGCUUCUACCUGCAAAAUGUAUACAGUUUUCCUUGUCCUCACACUUCAACAUUAAACAUAUCCUCCAUGUUUCGGGAGAACCUUCUUAGUGAAGAUCAUUUUUUAUCAUUUUAUAACUCUUAGCUGUCCAUUACAAGAUUCUCUGAUAAUCACAAAAAAGAAGACCUGCCCUCUUGUGGUUUCCGCUCAUUUAUGAUCAAGAAUGAUAUUUUCAAUAUUUUCUCAUUCCUCCCCCUCCUGGGAUGCAGUGGUGAUUUGCACUGCUAUUAUUGAUGCCAAGUAUAUUAACACUUACCGGCAGUGUUUGUGGGAGCCUGUCAGGGUUUCAAUGACAAAACAUUCUCCAUCAUUGAGACAGUAUGCAAGAUCCUUAUCUUUGCAUGGCUUAAAGUGCUCAGAUUGUUCAGUGGAGUAUGUUGUGGUAUCUGGAGAGAAAGAACAAUGGAGAGAAAAUGCUGUCAGUAUAGGAAAACAUAUUAGAGAUGUAUGCCCUUGGCCAGGUAGUCAACAUUUGGUUUCAAAUAACAAGAACAGGGAUGGUAGAGCUAGGGGAUAACCUGGAGAUCAGUGAUGAAAACAUAAGAAGAGCCUGCAGGAUCAGGCCAAUGGCCAACAUCCUGUCUACACAAAGUUAAACUGUAAGACCAGGAGUACUUUCAGAACAGCAUCUAGCAGAUAAAAGGGUGAGAUCCAUCAGAAUACAGGGUCUACUGUACUGUAGUUCAGAGACAGAGUGCAUAGUUUGCAUGCGGAAGAUCCCUGGAACCUCCAGGCAGGGCUAGGAAACACUAUUGGCUGAAACACAGCAGAGUCACUGCCAGUUAGUGCAAAGAAUACACACUCUCCAACAUUUCUCCAAUGAAAAUAGUGGUGCCCUAUUCCAGAGUAAUAACAAUCACCCUGAGACCUCUGGGUAUAGGACAGUAUACAAAUUUUAACAAAAACAACAAUAAUUUAAUUCUUUAUAUCUCAUCCAUCUGACUGGAUUGCCCCAACCACCUUCCAACAUAUAUAAAAACAUAAUAAAGCAUUGAACGUUUAAAAACUUCCCUAUACAGCAGGGGUCAGCAAACUUUUUCAGCAGGGGGUCAGUCUACUGUCCCUCAGACCUUGUGGGGUGCCGGACUAUAUUUUGAAGAGGGAAAAUGAAUUUCUAUGCCCCACAAAUAACCCAGAGAUGCAUUUUAAAUAAAAGCACACAUUCUAACUCAUGUAAAAACACGCUAAUUCCCAGACUGACUGCGGGUCAGAUUUAGAAGGCGAUUGGGCUGGAUCCGGCCCCCGGGCCUUAGUUUGCUUACCCAUGCUAUACAGGGCUGCCAUCAGGUGUCUUCUAAAUGUCUAGUUACUUUUCCCCUUGGCUCGGGGGUCACAUAACUCCAUAGUCUCCAACAUUUCUCAAAUGAAAAUAGGGACUACCCUAAGGAAAAACGGGACAUUCUGGGAUCAAAUCAUAAACUGGGACAGCAUCUGUAAAUAUGGGACUGUCCCUUGGAAAAUAGGGACACUUGGAGGGUAUGGAGAAGCUGAGAUCAGUAAAAUAUUGACUAGAAAUACUUUUCAAUUCAAUCCCUUUAGGGCUGGAAACACCCCGGGGUUAUGUCACAUAUUCUACAAACAACUAUGACCACUCAGUAGCGAUAGCAACAGAGAUCUCAGUAAAAACUGAAAGCUGCAGACACUGGACUUCUCAUCAGAGACAAUGUAGUAACCCUACUAACCCUAGUCAGUAUUAUCCCAAUACUGGAGUCAGACAGGUUGCAAGGUGAGAGAACUUUUAGUUACCACCACAACCAUUUCCCUUCAUAGCUUUACUCGACCCUUUCUAACUGUGAUAACUUGCCAAGUAGAGCAUAUCUAGAAGAGGGUGACUGAAAUGUCAUGCAACAGGAGAGAAACCAGGGCCCUUUUUCAGCUGAAAUUCUCCAGAACUGAGUUCUGGCACCUCUCAGGUGGGCACCAUUGCCAUUAUAAGAGAACAUGUUCAUGGUGAGUUCUGACACCUCUUUUUCUAGAAAAAUAGCACUGGGCGGGACUACCGACUACCAAACAGCAAAGACCAGGUAAAAAAAUGGCUACUUAAUGUGGAAGAGACAUUUUUUAAAAAGCUCUCUCCAGAGUUUGCUUUAUGUUGCAUUCAUUUUAGUUACAAGACGAAAAGGUUUUCCACACAAUAUGAUUUGUUGGUUUCUCCCAAGACCACACAUAUUUUUGUUACAACAUCAUUUUGAAAGGGGACACUUGGAACAUGGUGCUCUAAAGAGAACCAGAGCAAGCACAUUUUUAACUAUGAAAGGAAAACCACUGCAGGGAUUACCGAAAACACAGGUUUCAGUUUUACAAAACUGAUCUCCUUCAAGAGGAUUAUUGCAAAACCUUGUUCUCUAAAAUGUGAACAUGACACAAGUCACUCUGUAUGCUGGGUCCUACAAAAGAAAACAUUCAAAAUAUAUGGCAUGGUUCUCUUGUAUUGCCUGACUGAUGACUCUUCAGUGCUCAAAUUACAGUCACAUAUCAGCUCUAUGGGAGCUAAAUACCCCUUUCAAGAAAUCAAAUGUUGCAAGUGAACAUUCAGAACCAGCCAGGGAUCCAGCCCCACAAAAUCCAGCACAGAGAAAACUAGUAUGUAAGAGGGGAUGCUACAACACAACAUUUCCUCUGACAUGUAGUAGUUGUCAGGGAUGCCAACAGAAUUUCCUGGGCCUAGUACACUGCAGGUGGAUUGGGCCCCUUCAUUCAUUGCCAGCCACCAGAAUCUAUUGACAAGAUCUGCUGCUUAUGUGCACAUAUUAGCAUGGCAUAACCUACCUCAGAAGGCUGUUGUAAAUAUAAAAGACAAGGAAAAGGAAAACAUAUACAAGCUUAAGCUCCCGAGUAGAAAAGCAAGAUACAAAUGGAGAUCUCAUAGUUAAAUGAUGAAAUACAGUGGUACCUCGGGUUAAGUACUUAAUUCGUUCUGGAGGUCCAUUCUUAAUCUGAAACUGUUCUUAACCUGAAGCACCACUUUAGCUAAUGGGGCCUCCUGCUGCCGCCGCGCCGCCAGAGCCCGAUUUCUGUUCUUAUCCUGAAGCAAAGUUCUUAACCUGAAGCACUAUUUCUGGGUUAGCGGAGUGUGUAACCUGAAGCGUAUGUAACCUGAAGCGUAUGUAACCCGAGGUACCACUGUACAUUCCCUUCGAAGCCUCUACUGUGGGCCAUGCCCAUAUGGAGGAGUUGUGACCACUCUUCAUUAUGCUCAAGGCUACAUUCAACUUCUUUCUCACACUGGCGUUUACCUCUCCCAGAAAAAAUCUAGAAGCAAUCCUUCCCUACACUGCCUAUAGUCCCUAAAUACUCAGAUGCUCCAUGAAACUAAAGCUAGGCUGCAACCAGGCAAGAAUGGAACCAGGGAGCAUUUCAAAAGUGUUGGAUGGAAAUGGCGAAAGGGGGGACACAUAGGUUUAGUGAUACCACAGCAAGAGGAUGGAUACCCUGAACAUCUUAGCUAAAGUCCCCAAUUUUCAUCUCCUGGGUGCACUGAAAUUUCAGGAAGGGUCAUUUGCAAACAAUGUUCUCAUUAUUUCCACAGUUGCCGCAGCCUAAAACCUUCAUUGCACAUGCCUGAACAACUACUCUGGCUCACCAUCCUCAAUUAAGUCAAUACCAUUCUGUACGUCAAGAUAGCCUUUAAUUUUCCAUUACCCAUUUACCAUGAAUUCCUUCACCGAGCUAAAUAGUAAGAAGUUACAUUCUAUUUUUUAAUCAGCACUUUUAAACUGCUGCAUGCUCAACAUGCAAUACAAUGACAAUCCAAUUCCAUUCAAUUAGAUUUCAUCUGACAGCCACUCUCUGGUGGAUAUAACACCAUAUUACGGGGGUGGGGUGAAUCCUACUUCUGGAAAUGUGAAAUUAUAGUAAUUUCAGGAGCAUCAUUCUCUUUCUAGAAGGGCAGUGAGUGCCCAGUGCCCCGGUAGUCAUUGAACUGUAAUACAGUGCUUUCAUUUCUGCAUUACAAAAAUAAGCUUGACAACCACUGGAGAUUUAUGCAAAAGAUGGAACAUUUCCAAAAAAGGUGGUGGGGGUGGGGAGAAAACCAGAAACGACCAGCACAAUUUUGUUGAAUAUAUUUCAUAAAAUAGAAAAUGGGCAAAAUUUAAGGUAUACUGGAAACUGACUUUUAGAAGAGCUUAUUCCUUAUUUUCCUUAGAGAGGUUUGAAAGUAGUUUCUGUUGUGGCUGCAGAUGGACAAGGAACUUAUAAAAGGGCUGAGAGUAGUUUGACAGAGGGGGUUUCUUUUCCAUAUAAAUAUUUCAUUUCAUUUUAUCCAUCCAUUGACUCUAGUCAAAACAAGUAUUGUAGGGUUUCGUGACAAUAUCCAAGAAGAAAAGGGGAGGGGAUUAAUUGGUGCGCUGUGGAGGGUUGUACUGUAGGGUUGAAAAUUAACUAUGUGAUAUCUGAAUCCCUUUAUGAAAAUAUUGCCCCAAAGGCAAAAUGCAGAUCAAAUGUGCAAUGCGGAUGACACCUAAACUUUAAAUCAAUCAGCUACAUGGAGGUACAGAUUCCAAAAGAACCUACAGUAAAUAAUUUAUAUGCCUUAUGAAACCUUAUUAAAUAUAUGCCCACUGAAAUAAUUAUUAAAGAACUGAGAAGCUGGACAAUCUUAAUUGAUGUCCUUCUUAGGUGGAGUAGUGGAGGGGGUGAACAUCAGUUCUCCCCCAGCUGUUAUUUAUGUUUCAGGUGCUUCUGAUUUCAAUUCCAGAAAAAGUGCAUGGGAAAUGGCAGCCUUUCAGGAAUAACUUAGUUUUCAGAAUAUUUUCAGAAUGGACGGCUUGCUUGUAAUUUACUGUAGAAAAGGACAAUCCACCCGGGGGAUGGGGCAGGAAAGUCCACAUCUGAAAAUACAUAUACAGUGGUACCUCAGGUUAAGUACUUAAUUCGUUCCAGAGGUCCGUUCUUAACCUGAAACUGUUCUUAACCUGAAGCACCACUUUAGCUAAUGGGGCCUCCUACUGCUGCCGCGCUGCCGGAGCACGAUUUCUGUUCUCAUCCUGAAGCAAAGUUCUUAACCUGAAGCACUAUUUCUGGGUUAGCGGAGUCUGUAACCUGAAGCGUAUGUAACCUGAGGUACCACUGUAUUAUGAAGCUUUACAGUUGCACCAGUUAAAUUAUAUAAUACUAAUGAGAAGCCUUGGAUGGAGGUGAACUGACAGGAUCAAAUAAUUUUCCAUUGUAGGCACAACCUCAAAUCCAUAUGACUGCAAAACUCUGCAAUAUGUUUUGGUGCAUAAAAAGCAUGACAAUCUAAAUUAAACCCAAGUAGCUCCCUACAAUACCCAGAUCUGCCCUUCUACAGCAUGGACAAAGAGGCUCAAUUUAGGAACUGGGAAGCGGCUGUACCGGCUUUGGAACAUCUGUAUCACCACAUGUCCAUUCAUUGAAGUACAGCUGAUAGAUGAACAUUCAUGACAGAGCACGAACCUGCCUUAUCCUCAGACAGAACAGUGUGCCACAUACUUCACCCCUCUGACUGACAAUGGCUAUCAGCCCAUCCGCACAGUCCUUGCUCCCAGACCUACCUACAGUUGUUGCCCUAGGAGAGGGUUCUUCUUCCCACUGGCUCUACCCCUUAGCCAACCACACAGAACCUUCAUUCACAAAGACGGAGAAGCAGAACUCAACUUGACUCUCUCCUCUAGGUGAUAUUCUAACUCAAGGUCCUGUUCAGCUUAAAGACACGGCAACAGACAGCAGCAGCAGCUCCCAUCUCUCUCCCUUUCCCUCCCCCUCUCUUCUUGCACACUUGCAUCAGGGCAGGAACCAGCCAGUCUGCCCUUAUAGACAGCUGCUCUCAAGGCAUUGACCACCGACAACAUGUGCUGUGCAGGGAGACACCUCUCUAGCCUUGUGUUAAUUUGCAAAGCCCUAAAAAUAUGAGGCCAAAGCACCUUAGGGCAGUGUUUCUCAAACCUGGGUCCCCAGCUGUUGUUUGACUACAACUCCCAUCAUCUCUGACCGCUGGCCCUGCUAGCUAGGGAUGAUGGGAAUUGUAGUCCAUCAACAGCUGGGGACCCAAGUUUGAGAAACACUGCUAGGGACUGCCUAAGAUGGGCAUGAUUUAAGGUCAGUCUUCCUAUUUGGUUACAGUGGGUAGACCUAGGGCCGUCUUAGUCUGGUAAGGGGCCUUGGUCUACCUCCCAUUUGAGAUGCACGGUACGGUGUUGUGAAUGCAUGAUAAAUGGGAGGGUCUAAAUAAAUAGGGAGGAAAUUCUACCUAGACAAUGUUGAAACUGCUGUGCUCUAUUCCUGCAUACAUCAGAGGAAAUAUAUAUAUUUAAAAUCCACAAAGCCCACUGAGAUCAACACAUGUACUAGCUACAAUGUGCUCAGAUUGUUGCUGGGGUUGUAUUCAUCUGUGGCAGGAGUGCCCAAAGUCAGUGAGAUUUUGGAAUGAGGUUCGCUAGGAGGUGAUGAUCAUAACUGCACAAAGAAGGGUUAAAUCACCAAAGCUUACUUGGUGUGCAUAUCUAUGAGGCAGGGGUGUGACUCAUCAAAGCAUACCAACAUCUUUAAAGUGUAAUGUGAGAACCAUCCCUCGCACUAAAUGACAGAUGAGAAACCCUAUUUUUCCACUCAGUGAAUAAUACCAUUCUUUAUCAUUCUCACUUUUGAUAUGACACAAGCAUUUAAGGAGAACAGGUACAUGCCAACAGUGGCAUGGCACACAUUUUCCAAAUACUAAAUGAAAGAAAGGGUUAGAAAUAUUGCUAGAUAGCCCCUGACAAUACAUAGCUGUGUCUUGUUUGCCAAAAGAGACACAAAUAUAUCAGCUUGCCACUGAAUACAAAUGAGAACUUUUUUAGUACCCGCAAAACACAGGCAAUUUCCUCUAUGCAUUCAACUCUAUGCACCACUCUUAAUCAAGCUCAGAAUUUCCUUGUGGCAGUUCCACGGACAAGAAAACAGAGAUGACAUUGUGUAGAACAGUACACAAUAGUGAUUACCCCAGUGUGCAGCUUUAUGGAUAAAAUAUUACCUAUUUAAUCUCAAGCUCCACCUACUCUCACCCACUCAAUUCAUCUUGAAAGGAAUCCAAUUCAUCUUGGUAAGAUGCAAAAUUCACUUUGAACUGAUGGUAAUGAUAUCCCUCCACUACCAAAAAGUAAUAUAAAUUAUCAGUCUGUAGUUUUGCCAUCAUAGAAGCUUGGAGGACACAACAGGCAGGAAACUAGAUAUGAACUUUGUUGUCUCUCUUCAUUAGGAACAGCAACAGGAAACGCCUGACUCUCUCCAGAUACAGCUACACCCAGUGCCACCUACUAAACUAUACAGUGGUACCUCGGGUUAAGUACUUAAUUCAUUCCAGCUGUCCGUUCUUAACCUGAAACCUGAAGCACCACUCUAGCUAAUGGGGCCUCCUGCUGCUGCCCCGCCGCUGGAGCAUGAUUUCUGUUCUCAUUCUGAAGCAAAGUUCUUAACCUGAAGCACUAUUUCUGGGUUGGCGGAGUCUGUAACCUGAAGCGUAUAUAACCUGAAGCGUAUGUAACCUGAAGCGUAUGUAACCUGAGGUACCACUGUAUAAUAGAUUUGUCCACAUAAAGACUAUGUUUGAAUUACAUUUGGGGUGAUAGCCAAUUAUAUCAUGCACAGAGCAAAUCCACAGAAAUCAGUAGACUUGAAUUACUCAUGUCCAUUUUUUCAACAGGUCUACUGUAUGACUAACAUUGGAUAGCUAAAGUUAUCAUUAUGCUCAAAUAAUGUUUUAAAAUUAUUUACCCCUUUGUAUGUCUUCUACAGCAUCAUUGCAGAUACCAGGGCAGAUUAUAAGGAGUGUAUUCAUCUUACUUUAAAAAAACAACAACUGUGUAGCUGAUGCUGAUUUGGGGGGAAAUACAGUUGAAAAUAAUAUUACUGCAAAUAGCCACUGUAAGACUAGGAAGAUUUCACUACCUCCCACCGCAGCUAGUUGACUGGGUCUUUAUCAAUAUUUUUGGUGAAUUUUUGGGAGACAAAACCUGUACCUCUGCACCAGAGUUCUUUGGGAAGCUCCCCUACUGUCACUGUCAUUUGUGUCUGCCAAUUUCUCUCCUUCCCUACUCUCCCAAGCUUAUCAAUCUGCAAGGAAGGACAAGAAGUAGGAAAAACAGCAUGGAGAGAGAGCAGGCAAAAGCCAAGGGUGUUUUAAGGCAGGAGUAACCAAAAUGGCAACUAGACAUUGUAGACCACAUACAUCUUCCAUCAUCCCAGGCCACGCUGAAUGGGGCUGAUGGGAGUUGUAGUCCAUUGGGCACCACAUUGGCUACCUUCGUUUUAAGGGAUUUCUUACUCUGGAAUUAUGCAGAGCAAAGAGAAGGUCUAUGUUUUAACUCUUCCUAGUGAAGGAGUCUGUUUUUUAAAAAGCUUUGUUAUUAUUACCUUCUUCAUUUAUUUAUAUUUAUUUCAAACUAAUUUUGAAAUAAAUACAACAAUAAUUGUUGAAAUGUACUCAUAAUAAGACUAGAUCUAUUAGGAAGUGUAUACUAAUAUGCCUCAUUGUGGUUCAGCAGAUCUCAUGGGAGGUCAUUUGUGUUAAUAAUCUUGACACCAAAUGGCAUGAAUUAUCGUUUUAAUUAUGAUAACUGAUGUAAAAUUGUGUUAUUAAACCUUCAACAAAGUUGUUAACAGAAAAGAGAAAGAGAGAGCUUUUUUUGCCCCCUCCCCUUGGCUACAGACUUUGCUCCCCCACCCCCACCCCCAAAAACACUUUUGGGAAAUCCUGAGAUGGAGGGGAGCAGGAAAACAAAAACAGGAGGAUUGUUACCAAAUAAUCCAAUCAGUGAUAUAUCUUAUUAUGUUCUUUGAACUUACUGAGAUCUUCUAGAAAUCCUUCAGAAAUAUUUUCCAAACAGUCAUCAUGACCUUUCUUAACCUUUCCCCCCUUUCUUUACUAAAAGUAAACAUACUUAAGUUCUUCUCAUAUGCCUUGGGGAACUCUUAUAUUCACAAGGCUCAAUGUCCUAUACUGCUGAUCUUGGUCUGCUAACAAGGCUGGAAGCUUUAGUUCUCGGCAGUUUUGGAAGGUUUGCUGCUACAUUCAUCACUUCAUUCCAACUUGAAUCCAAUUGUAGCCUAUGUGUUUAGCUCUCAGCACAAAUUUUGUUACGUGUUCGCAUUAUCUUGACAGGUUUGGCAGACACUUGCGCCUUUCCCCCCCUUUUUUUUUUAAAAAAGGGGAGUGCAUCUUGACAUUUUGCCUUGCCAAAAGUAGUAAAUAAAUAUUUCAUAGCCCUUUACCAUUAGCAUUGUGUGCAAAUGGUGGGGCUGGAUGGCUGCCAUAUUUCUCUUAUCAAUAUUAACAUCCCCAAUAUUUUACUAUGAAUGCAGCCAUCAUAAUCAUCUGUGGGCAUUUAUUUCUACUUCCAACCCACCUCAGGCUCUGUUCUACAGUUUACAGUUAUUAUUCUCAGAAAUGAAAUGUGCUUAUAGGGGUUAUGCCUGACAGAACAGAGGGUAGUUUUAGUGGUGGCUUGUGGGAAUCAUCUUAGACAAUAGGGGGAAAGUUUUAAUAUGCCUAGUGCCUCAAAAGAGGCACCAUUGGGGGGGUGAGGGGCUGAGGGUUCCCUGAAAUAAUCUGCAGCCUGUGGGCCUUCCUGAGGCUGUGGCGGGUCUCUCUCCUCCUGAUGCAUGACAUUAGAAGUGCAUGACCAUGUGCCCCAAGGUGUGGCUUGCUGAACAUCACUGCAGGGAAAGUAGAGAAAACAGAAGCAGCAUUUAGGCCAAGUACAAAAUAGCUGACCACUUUUGUUCUGUAUCUCCUCCUCCUAACAUUUUAAUCUUUCUCCCAGAAACCCUGUGAUGGCGGCCAAAUUCUUGCAACUCCACAUCAGCGCCUCAGAUCUGACAACCCUACCUGCAGAAUGCAUCCCUGAACUCUGAAAAUGCCUGUUGAUUGCCUGGUUGGAGGACACAGAGUAGUGUGUGAGUGUGUGUAGAAAGUAGCCUGCUAUGCAGAGGGACACUCAUGGCUAACUUUUGCCUACCACUGGCAUGUGACCCCAAAAGGUUGCUCAGAAGGCAAUGAGGCCCUCAGGUGAGAAAGUAUCCUCCAUCUGUGCCUUAGACAUUCAACAAACUCACUGUGUCAAGUAUCAGCUGAUUACUGGCUUGUUUCCAGGGCCAAUUUCAGCUGCCUUUUAUUAUGGCAAUAGAGUGGUACCUUGGGUUACAUACGCUUCAGGUUACAUACUCUUCAGGUUACAGACUCCGCUAACCCAGAAAUAUUAUCUCGGGUUAAGAACUUUGCUUCAGGAUGAGAACAGAAAUCGUGCUCCGGUGGUGCAGUGGCAGCAGGAGGCCCCAUUAGCUAAAGUGGUGCUUCAGGUUAAGAACAGUUUCGGGUUAAGAACGGACCUCCAGAAUGAAUUAAGUACUUAACCCAAGGUACCACUGUAUCCUAACAACAAUGUCCUGGGCUCUACUUACAUUAAGGAAAUAAUCUCUUCCCAUUUACAAUCAUAGCAAGGAGACUGACGUGAUCUUGGGCUUAGACCUUUCACCGCCCCUGCUGAGAUGCUGCUGGUUAUAAAAUGCUCUGUGUGCUUUCCUUUUACUGCAGCAGCCACCUCUCCCCUGAUUGUUUCCUUCAGUGCUACAAUAAAGUUUAAAAAUUAGAAUAACAAGGGAAGGAGCAUAUACACAGGUUCUUCCCACCUGAUGAUAUCCUUGCAUGGAGGACAGCAGCUUUAAUGGAAAGACUUAUAGAUACCAUAGAAUUGUAGAGUUGGGACCCUGAGGAUCAUCUAGUCCAACCCCCUGCAAUACAGGAAUAUGCAGCUGUCCCAUAUGGGGACUGAACCUGCAACCUUGGCAUUAUCAGCACCACACUCUAACCAACUGAGGAUAUGACCCUACACAGUUGCAGCUUGCAAACCAGACCAUGUUAGCACAGGAAUUUUCACAGGAGGAGUAGAUGAAGGGGCAGUGAUUGGUCAGGCAAGAUGAAGCUUUGUACCCUCAACCAUCUCCUUCUGUUUUCUCAUGGUUACAGGUACAAAUAAGGGAGAAACAUCUGUUAGACUUAUGGAGCAACUUGUGUGGAUUAGAGUUCAUUUCAUCAAAAGCAUUAUAUGCUAUCCGCAGGUGUUUGAGGAUCUUCUAGUCCACAGAACCUUAUGCCAUAAUAAAAUUAUUAGUCUUCAAGGUGCCACAAGACUCCUUUGUUGUUUUUGCCGCAGUAGACUAACAGAGCUACCCUUCUGAAGAUCAGGUAAGAAAAAGAAAACAUCCAAAGUAAGUCUCAGGAAUUUGUGAAAUUUUAAUCAGUAGUAGUAUGAGGAGGUGGCACAGAGAAAUUUACAGUGAAAACCUAUGCUUGUCUACUAUUGAGUUUGAUGGUGCUUACUCCAUUAUAAGUGUGUACAGCAUUGCAGGUAUAAUCAUAUCUUUUAUACACUUGAUGUAGGAAAGCAUCCCUUGUUGUUAAAACAUGUGCAGCUGGAAUGUGUGUGUGUGUGUGUGUGCGCGCGCGCGCACACGUGUGUGUGCAUGUGUGUGCAACCUAACACCACAGAAGUGUUUAGUUGCAAAAAAGCUAUUUGUUGUCAAAGACUUGUUAAUAGCUUAUCUGACUGACAAUGUUGCCCUCUUCCAGAGAAGCAGAGAAGUGGGUCAAGGAAUCUGCUUCAGAGAAAGGCAAGGUGGAGAUAAAUAAUACAAUUUUAACCCUCAGCUGGUUCCAUCUUCCAAGGUAAAAUGUCUAAAAAAUUAUUAUUCACUACAG